CUGCACAAUUAGGUACGAGUUCUAAAUUUUUGCACAUUUUUACAGAUAUGGGUAGAUAAACGUUUUUAAAGAAUUAUAUGUUGUCCCGAGAUCGAGAAAACGAGUUUAUAAAAACCCGCAGGAAUGUACAAUAUUUGGAUCUUACAAAUUUGUAAUUCCCAUGGUUUUUUACGGAUAUGAAAUAUAAAAAUCAGGAGAGUAAAAUAUUUGAAAAAUAUCAAUAUUACAGUAUACUGAAACAUAGUCUAUGACUACCUCCAGUUGAUCACUUCACGAGUUCAUGUUAGAAUUUAAUAACCUCUGUUAAUGGAGUUAUUCUGGAAAAGUUCUGUAUCUCAAAAGUUUUAUCAUCACAUUCAUUCAAACGAAAUUCAUUUCGUGGUGAUUUUAAUAGAAAUUAUUAUUGGUUUCAUAAAUUUCAUAAUUCUUAUUUAAUCCAUUUGUGACAACAAUCUAAUACAAAUUUUGGAAGAUGAUAAUACAUAUCUAUUGACUCGAUAGAGUACUCUAUUUCUACGUAUGUGUCCACUACUUUGAUGCGUAUUAGACAAAUCCCAAAACCAUUAUCAAAUGUGAGAUUUUUGGAAACUUAUUUACAUAAUUUUAGUAAAACCUCGUAAAAAUCAUUAAUUUCAUUUGAUCUCAUUUGUUUCAUUCAUUCAUCUCAAUUUCCCAAAAUAUACUUAGAUUUCUCAUCAUGUCGGUGAUUUUACACAUUUCACUUAUCAGAUCAUUGAAGAAGGUUUACGUGAUCUCAUCUCGUUCACUUUCAACAUUAUCACUUUUCUAGACCAACUCCUUAGGUGGGUCACAGGGUAUUCGAGUGUAGUCAGAUAACCGUAUACAAUUCUGUUGAAAUUCAAAAAUUUUACAUUCCAGAUUUGUAUAUUUCAGACUCGUGCCGUUCCAGGGUUUAACGUGUUCCCGAGAAAACGUUAUUUACGGAUUUAUUAUGUACAGAAUAUAAAAUUAUUAAAAUAUAAUACUCGCGACUAUUCUAAAUUCUAAUACACAGGUCGCAAUAAUUG